rnacentral:rRNA from 1 species
CCUACGGGGGGCUGCAGUGGGGAAUAUUGGACAAUGGGGGCAACCCUGAUCCAGCCAUGCCGCGUGUGUGAAGAAGGCCCUCGGGUUGUAAAGCACUUUCAGUGAGGAAGAACGCCUGGUGGUUAAUACCCAUCAGGAAAGACAUCACUCACAGAAGAAGCACCGGCUAACUCCGUGCCAGCAGCCGCGGUAAUACGGAGGGUGCGAGCGUUAAUCGGAAUUACUGGGCGUAAAGCGCGCGUAGGUGGCUUGAUAAGCCGGUUGUGAAAGCCCCGGGCUCAACCUGGGAACGGCAUCCGGAACUGUCAAGCUAGAGUGCAGGAGAGGAAGGUAGAAUUCCCGGUGUAGCGGCGAAAUGCGUAGAGAUCGGGAGGAAUACCAGUGGCGAAGGCGGCCUUCUGGACUGACACUGACACUGAGGUGCGAAAGCGUGGGUAGCGAACAGGAUUAGAUACCCUAGUAGUC